CAGAUAAUGAUAAUAUUUGCUUAAAUCCACCAGCAAGCUAACAUUUAGCAAUGAUUUCUUUUGGCUACUGUUCUUAACUCCGGGUAUCGUCUCUGUUCAAGAUUUCCAAGAUUUUUGUUUAUUUGUAUCGAAAGUUGAACUUCCGGUUACGAACCUGGGUCCUUCGCCCCAAAGAGUACGUCCCUUUUACGUUCAUAUCCUUUCAUGGAAUAUUUGCUGUAUAUAUGUGCUAUAAAAGAUCUAGAUACACAAUUACCGAUGUAUACCCUCUUAAGGAAAAUAUACUUUUAAUUCGGAAGUUUUCGGGAGUUCAUUAAAUACACGUUACUAACCUGCAUGAUCUGUUACAGCGCAAAAUACAAUUUGUUAGGCUUACCCAUAGGCAGUAGACGAUCUGUCAAUACUCAAUUUCAAUAGUAUAAGAUAUGGGGAAAAGGUAAUAUAUAAAAAAAAUUAAACUAAAAACAAAUUAAACUCGUCGUGCAUCUAAUUUAUGUAGAAAUAUACAAUGACGCAUGGUAAACAUGAUAAUCAUUAUAGUCUGCAAAUCUUUGGACAAUGUUGCAUCUAAUUACUCACACUUGUAAAAAUUAAAUAAUUAUAAAAAUGAAAACGAAUAAUCCAUUCAUGGGACCAAUUUCUCAUUCAGUCUUUGCAUGUGCUCUCCACGUGGCGAUGCAAUAUGGUUAAAAAAUGAAUUCUUUCUAAGAUUAGUACUUCUAAUAAACAUUAGAAGCAUGAGUCAGUUUAUAACCAUACAAAUUCUUACAGUAGUUUACUUUAUC
rnacentral:lncRNA from 1 species